UACGUAGGGACCGAGCGUUGUCCGGAUUCAUUGGGCGUAAAGAGCUCGUAGGCGGCUGCUCAAGUCGAAUGUGAAAACUCGAGGCUCAACCUCGAGCCUGCAUUCGAUACUGGGCGGCUAGAGUCUGGUAGGGGGAUCUGGAAUUCCUGGUGUAGCGGUGGAAUGCGCAGAUAUCAGGAGGAACACCAAUAGCGAAGGCAGCUCGCUGGGACGGUACUGACGCUAAGGCGCGAAAGCGUGGGGAGCGAACAGG
rnacentral:rRNA from 1 species